AUGCCCAAUGGGGCACAAGCUCCGACUGAGGAAGGCGAGGCGAGCGGGGGCGAGGCGAGCGGGGGCGAGAGCCAGGGAGAGGAGGAAUGGGACUCGGAUGCUGCAGGGGAUGACGACGACGAUGAUGAUGAUGAUGAAGGUGAUGAAGAUGACAUCGAGGACGAGGAAGAAGAGGAGGAGGAGGUCGUUCCACCGCGCUCAGAAAGGCGGUCGAAGCUUGUCCACGACCCCUCGACCGAACGUGGUAAGGGGGUUGCGACUGCCGCUCAGUCGACCAAGCGCCCUCGGACCACCUCUCCGGCGCCGACUGAAAAGGCGCCGAAGCAGCCCAGGGCGGCCUCAUCGAAGCCGACCAAGCUCCUGCCGAAGAUGAAGGUGUCCAUUCCCACCAUAUCAGGGUAA
rnacentral:rRNA from 1 species